GGAGUGAAGUUUAGUAAUGAAGUCCGUGAGCUGUGCGUCAAGAAAAGCCGCUAUUGUUCAUACCAUACCCGUACCGUAAACCGACACAGGUGGAUGAGGAGAGAAUCCUAAGGCCGGCGGAAGAAGCAUUGUCAAGGAACUCGGCAAAAUGACCCCGUAACUUCGGGAGAAGGGGUGCCUGCGAGAGCAGGCCGCAGAGAAUAGGCUCAAGCAACUGUUUAGCAAAAACACAGGUCUAUGCGAAACCGAAAGGUGAGGUAUAUGGGCUGACGCCUGCCCGGUGCUGGAAGGUUAAGAGGAGAGGUUAGCGCAAGCGAAGCUUUGAAUUUAAGCCCCAGUAAACGGCGGCCGUAACUAUAACGGUCCUAAGGUAGCGAAAUUCCUUGUCGGGUAAGUUCCGACCCGCACGAAAGGCGUAAUGAUUUGAGCGCUGUCUCGACAAUGCAUCCGGUGAAAUUGAAGUACCAGUGAAGAUGCUGGUUACCUGCGCCAGGACGGAAAGACCCCAUGGAGCUUUACUCCAGUUUGGUACUGGGAUCCGGUACUGCAUGUACAGGAUAGGUGGGAGGCUAUGAAUCGGUAACGCCAGUUGCCGAGGAGCCGCUGUUGGGAUACCACCCUUGCAGUAUUGGGUUUCUAACCAGCCGCCGUGACCCGGCGGUGGGACAAUGCCAGACGGGGAGUUUGACUGGGGCGGUCGCCUCCGAAAGGGUAUCGGAGGCGCCCAAAGGUUCCCUCAGGAUGGACGGAAACCAUCCAAAGAGUGCAAAGGCAGAAGGGAGCUUGACUGCGACACCGACGGGUGGAGCAGGUACGAAAGUAGGGCUUAGUGAUCCGGUGGUAUUAAGUGGGAAUGCCAUCGCUCAACGGAUAAAAGCUACCCUGGGAUAACAGGCUUAUCACUCCCAAGAGUUCACAUCGACGGAGUGGUUUGGCACCUCGAUGUCGGCUCAUCGCAUCCUGGGGCUGUAGUAGGUCCCAAGGGUUGGGCUGUUCGCCCAUUAAAGCGGUACGCGAGCUGGGUUCAGAACGUCGUGAGACAGUUCGGUCCCUAUCCGGCGUGGGCGUAGGAUAUCUGAGAGGAGCUGUCCUUAGUACGAGAGGACCGGGAUGGACGGGCCGCUGGUGCACCGGUUAGACUGCCAAGUCUAUAGCCGGGUAGCCAAGCCCGGAAGGGAUAAACGCUGAAGGCAUCUAAGCGUGAAGCCCCCCUCAAGAUGAGAUAUCCCAUCCGAAAGGAGUAAACCCCCUUGAAGACGACGAGGUCGAUAGGGCAGAGGUGGAAGUGUGGUAACGCAUGGAGCUGACUGCUACUAAUAGGGUGAGGGCUUGACC
rnacentral:rRNA from 1 species